GUGCUUUCUUUGAUAGCACAUAUACUAAAAUUGGAAUGAUACAGAGAUUAGCAUGGCCUCUGCUCAAGGAUGACAUGGAAAUUCAUGGAGCUUUCCAUAUUUUU